rnacentral:tRNA from 1 species
GGAGCGGUGUCCGAGGGGUUGACGGAGACGGUUUCGAAAACCGUGGAGCUCGCGCGGGUUCCGGGGGUUCGAAUCCCCCCUGCUCCG